ACACGACUACAUUAGAUACCCGCGUAGUCCUAGCCGUAAACGAUGCUCGCUAGGUGUCGGCCACGGUGCGACCGUUGUCGGUGCCGUAGGGAAGCCGUGAAGCGAGCCACCUGGGAAGUACGGCCGCAAGGCUGAAACUUAAAGGAAUUGCGGGGAGCACCACAACGGGUGGAGCCUGCGGUUUAAUUGGACUCAACGCCGGGAAGCUCACCGGAUAAGACAGCGGAAUGAUUGCCGGGCUGAAGACCCUGCAUGACCAGCUG
rnacentral:rRNA from 1 species